UUGCUCACUUUGGCAGAACAUAUACUAAAAUUGGAAUGAUAAAAAGAAGAUAAGUAAAACCCCUGCAUAGGGAUGACAUGCAAAUUCCCGUCCCAUACUUUG
ensembl:snRNA U6 U6 spliceosomal RNA